rnacentral:rRNA from 1 species
GAUGAACGCUGGCGGCGUGCCUAAUACAUGCAAGUCGAGCGAACGAAGGAGAAUUUUGCUUCUCUGAUGUUAGGGGCGGGCGGGUGAUUCACACGUGUAUACCGUAUCUUUGAGACUGGGAUCAGUUCGGGAAACCGGAUAUAACAUCCGAUAAGAUUUUGAACCGCAUGGUUCAACAGAGAAAUACGGUCUUGCUGUUACUUAUUGAUAGAUCCUCGUUGUAUUAGUUAGUUGGUAAGGUAACGGCUUACCAAGGCAACGAUGCAUAGACGACCUGAGAGGGUGAUCGGCCACACUGGAACUGAGACACGGUCCAGACUCCUACGGGAGGCAGCAGUAGGGAAUUUUCCGCAAUGGGCGAAAGCCUGACGGAGCAACGCCGCGUGAGUGAUGAAGGUCUUCGGAUCGUAAAACUCUGUUAUUAGGGAAGAAGAUAUGUAUAAGUAAAUGUUCACAUCUUGACGGUACCUAAACAGAAAGCCACGGCUAACUACGUG